AAUGAACUAAAGGCUCAGCCAGAAUAUGCACCUUGUUGAUUAAAUGUUGUAUAUGUAAACAUUGCCAUCAAGGAGAUAAUAUAGUAAUUGAUCUGUUUUUGUGUUGUUUCAGAAUCUCCUACUGUAAAAGUAUCUCCAGAUGUCAUAAGAGAGUCCAGCUCAGUGAAGAUCAGCUGUGAGACUCCAGCAGAUGUUAGAAAGAAUCAGUGUUAUUUCUACACAAACAGAGAAGAGAAGAAUAUAAAAGUCAGAUCAUCAUGUGAGCUCGAGCUCACUGGUGCUGAAGUGCUCAGAUGGGCAGGUGUAAAAUCACCUGAAUCAAUCUACAUUAACUGUUACUACACAAUAAAUGAACGAGGCAUCAAUAAACCAUCAUCUAAUUCUCCUUCUGCCACAGUGACGGUUCUUGGUGAGAUAUUUCACUGCUGUUUAUGUGGUUUGAAACUGUUAUUGCAAUGUUUUUAAUAGCUGUGGACCAUUUCUCUUCAGAUUCACUUCAGAAACCCUUCAUUACUGUUAGUGAUGACCAGCUCAGCAUAUCAUGUGAAAUACCACUUUCAGUCAGAGCUGAUUUCAUCUGUAGUCUCUACACUGAGGAUGAUGUUCUGUAUCAACAUGUCUCUCAUUGGAGUCAGUCUGGAAAGAAUCUUUGUAUGUUUUAUGUAAGUCGUAGUGAACUCUUGACACGAUCAGUGAACAGCAGACAGCUGAUCUGUGUUUAUUCACACAAGACUGAACCUGAGAUCAGAUCACCACACAGUGACACAUACACCCUCAGAGAUCUUCCUCAGGCCAAGUUGAGAGCGUCUGCUUCAGUUAUUCUGGAAACAGACACAGUUGAGCUGAGCUGUGAGAAUACUGAAGAUCUGAAGAUGGAGAAGUGUUUCUUCAACAUAAAUGGAAGAGAAAGUAACUCAAAACAGAGCUCAUCAUGUCAGCUCUCACUCACUGGAUCUCAGAUCAGUGUUUGGUCUGGAGGUCAGAGUUCAUCUGUGAGAAUAAGCUGCUUCUACACUGUGACUUUGUCACAAGUUCAGAAACCAUCUGCUCAUUCUGAUCCAGUGACAGUUACUGUCAAGAGUAAGUUUUUUAUAUAUACAUAUGUUGAAAUAACUGAUAUAUUUACAGCAGCAAAACUUGAUCCUUUUUCUUAAAAACAAAUGAUUAUACAUCUACUUGUAUUUGUCCCUUGUGUGAUAGUCUCAGUGGGGACCUCUGCUGGUAAAACUUUGAAAACUGCCACAAAAACAAGUGAGUAACCAUACAUCUCAAUAUUCCUNAAUCAUGUGUGCCGAGUGUUUUAUAAUGGAUGCUGGCCAAAGAAGCGAGUUUUGGAAGGGUUUAAACAUUUUAACUACAAUAUGUUACAUAGUCCAUGUUUACAUUUCAGUUCAAAAUUAUUCCUCAUUUACACAAUUUUUUGUUAGCGGUGAUGAUGUCCAGCUCAUCAUAGCAUAUGAAAUCAGAGCUGAUUUCAUCUGUAGUCUCUAACAGACGUUAGACUCAAAGGAGAUUGUCUGGAGAGCAACUUUGUAUAUUUUUAUUUAAGUCAUAGUGAACUCUUGACACGAUCAGUGAACAGCAGACAGCUGAUCUGUGUUUAUUCACUCAAAACUAAACCUGAGAUCAGAUCACCGCGCAGUGACACAUACUCCACCAGAAAGAGAAAUUAUAACCCAAAGCCAUGGAGAUUAAUUGGUCAAAAUGUUGACAUAUAAAGUUAUAAAGUUAAGCAUUGUUAUGAGCCCGUCUAGGAUGAAGCUGUAACAUAAACUGGAACAAACAAUCCGUUGUACACUUUCAUGUACAGGACCACAAGUGAAAGCACAACUUCAGGGGUGGGCAAACACCAAAACCACAAACAAACACCCAACAAACUCCUAACAGCAACAACAAAAUUCUCUAUCAAACCAACAAAGAAAUAAAUACAACAACAAUAAAGUGUACCA
ensembl:lncRNA